rnacentral:rRNA from 1 species
UACGGAGGAUUCGAGCGUUAUCCGGAUUUAUUAGGUUUAAAGGGUGCGUAGGCGGAAGAGUAAGUCAAUUGGUUAAAUCUGGUGGCUCAACCAUACAGUUGCCAUUGAUACUGCUUUUCUUGAAUUUAGUUGCUGUGGGCGGAAUGUGUCAUGUAGCGGUGAAAUGCAUAGAUAUGACACAGAACACCGAUUGCGAAGGCAGCUCACAAAACUAAUAUUGACGCUGAUGCACGAAAGCGUGGGUAGCGAACAGG